rnacentral:rRNA from 16 species
CUGGARUGUWUGWUUCCUGGCUCAAGAACGAACCUGGCGGCGUGGCUUACACAUGCAAGUCGAACGAUGAACCUCCUUCGGGAGGGGAUUAGUGGCGAACGGGUGAGAACACGUGGGCAAUCUGGCCUGCACUCUGGGACAAGCCCUGGAAACGGGGUCUAAUACCGGAUACUGACCCGCUUGGGCAUCCAAGCGGUUCGAAAGCUCCGGCGGUGCAGGAUGAGCCUCCGGCCUAUCAGCUUGUUGGUGAGGUAAUGGCUCACCAAGGCGACGACGGGUAGCCGGCCUGAGAGGGCGACCGGCCACACUGGGACUGAGACACGGCCCAGACUCCUACGGGAGGCAGCAGUGGGGAAUAUUGCACAAUGGGCGAAAGCCUGAUGCAGCGACGCCGCGUGAGGGAUGACGGCCUUCGGGUUGUAAACCUCUUUCAGCAGGGAAGAAGCGAAAGUGACGGUACCUGCAGAAGAAGCGCCGGCUAACUA